CGUGCCCAGCCACUCUUUAAGAACUGUAGCAGUCACCGCGAGGGUCCGCGGCUUCAUUCUGGAAGCCAUUGAGACUGAGAACCCGCCAAUUCCGGACACAAUUUCAUAGUACAUCAGUAUGGUCCAAUACAGGUACCUCCUCAGGAAACUCUGAAAAAGAAGAAGUAGAAAUAGUAUGAGACAAGAAACAGUCAUAUUCCAAAGAAUGAAAUACUGUUACAAAUGAUGGAUCCAGAAAAUCUUAUCUGGCAACUUGCUGUUAUUUUCAGUAAGCCUGAUGAUGAAGAAGAAAGGAAAGAA